rnacentral:hammerhead_ribozyme from 1 species
AUCCAGCUGACGAGUCCCAGAUGGGACGAAACGCGCGUCAAGCUGGAU